GACGUAGGGCGCGAGCGUUGUCCGGAUUUAUUGGGCGUAAAGAGCUCGUAGGCGGCUUGUCGCGUCGGCUGUGAAAUCCCGUGGCUCAACUGCGGGCUGGCAGCCGAUACGGGCAGGCUAGAGUUCGGUAGGGGAGACUGGAAUUCCUGGUGUAGCGGUGAAAUGCGUAGAUAUCUGGAGGAACACCGGUGGCGAAGGCGGGUCUCUGGGCCGUAACUGACGCUGAGGAGCGAAAGCAUGGGGAGCGAACAGG
rnacentral:rRNA from 1 species